rnacentral:rRNA from 1 species
UACGAGGGGGGCGAGCGUUGUUCGGAAUUAUUGGGCGUAAAGGGUGCGUAGGCGGUUCCGCAAGUCCUGUGUGAAAUCUUCGGGCUCAACUCGAAGUCUGCACGGGAAACUGCGGGGCUUGAGUGUGGGAGAGGUGAGUGGAAUUCCCGGUGUAGCGGUGAAAUGCGUAGAUAUCGAGAGGAACACCAGUGGCGAAGGCGAGUCCCUGGACAACACCUGACACUGAGGCACGAAAGCGUGGGGAGCAAACAGG